AAGUCGUAACAAGGUUUCCGUAGGUGAACCUGCGGAAGGAUCAUUACUGAGUUUAGGGUCUCUUUUAGAGUCCCGGAACCUUCCAACCCUUUGUUAAAAACACUUUGUUGCAUUUGGCAGGCCCGUCUUAUCCUUUAACGGGGGAGACGACCGCCGGGGGGCGGUUUAGGUCUACCUCUGGUCGAGUGCUUGCCGAUAGCCUAUUAAAAAUUCUUUAUUAAAUAAUGUCUGAAAAAUUAUAAUUAAAUUAAUUAAAA
rnacentral:misc_RNA from 1 species